rnacentral:tRNA from 1 species
GCUCGAGUAGCUCAGUGGUAGAGCACACCCUUGGUAAGGGUGAGGUCGCGGGUUCAACUCCCGCCUUGAGCUCCA